rnacentral:lncRNA from 1 species
AGGAGACUCAGAUCCUCAGGGUUGCAAACGUAUGGAAACCUUCUGGCUCACUUGAGACUGCCCUUACUAGGGAAGAAGCUCCUGAGAGUCAUCAGAAGUACAGCUGAAAAGCCAAUAUCAGCACCAAUGGGAUGCACCUCUAGGCUCUGCAGCUGACAAACUCUCAAGUGGAAUGGCCUUCUGAAUCUUCAAUACCGUGAUGCCAUGCCAGCCUACCUGUGCUCUGAAAUUUAUAUGACCCAGCCUCAGGAAACUCAAUUAUCUUGAUGGGAAGCCACAUCGACCCAGCUCCAUAUCAUUAUGAAAACUGAUUUUUGCAAGACAAAAAAAAAAUAUCCAAGAAUAAAGCACAUAUAGACAGAAAUCUGGAAUAAGUUCCUGAUUAAUUUAUAAUUAUUAAAAGUGAACAUCUCAGCUGAUAUGGAGAUAAUUGAGGUUUGUCUGUAAUGAUUCAGCUGGUCCAAUUUUGGAAUCUAUUUAUCAUACACCAUGUGUUAGAGAUCAACAGCCAAAUCCAGUUUUGGCUCCUGAUCUAUAGUGGGCGACUGUGAAGACGAGAACACACAUGUACUACAAGGAACUUCUGCAUGCACACGAAGUCCUCCGACUUCUAGAAUAUGAAAAUCCCCCACCUCCGUCAGCUUGCAAUAAGCUAGAAAUGAAGAGAACUGUAGCCUCCCAAGCACAACUGUAAAAUUCUAAUUAAAAAAUUGAUUGAUGAAGAAACAAAGAUAGUGUCAUUUAACACUGGCCAGCUGUUUGCCAAACCCAUUUACUUUUCCUCCUGGGCAUGUGGUUAAAGGACGUUUUCCAGUCUGCAAUAAACUGAUGUCUUGACAGUCUUUUAACCAGUGGAAUCUGAGUGGAAAUGACGUAUACUACCUCAAUGCCUGGCAAUAAACAUUUUUGGUGCCUCAAUCUCCAUGAUUUUUCCCUUGCAUAGCUUGAUGCAGAUGUACAUAGUCACUUGGAAGCCACAUGUUGAUGACAGAGCCAUAAGACCAAAGGAUCCUGGGUCCUUGAAUCACUACUUGCAGAAGAACUGGCGAGUGCUUAAGAACACCUCUUUUAGACUUUAUAUGGUAAAUUUCUAUCACUUUGGGGGUUAUAGAAGCUUAUGUCAUCUGAAAUAAAAAGAGGAGUAGUCAAGGGAGGUGUUAAGAAAUAGAAGGGUGGAAUAAAUGGUGUAAAGAUUAUAAUACAAGGUGAUAUAUAUUCAAUCUUAUUCUGCAUUAGUUGACAUAGUUGGAGUAGCUGCUGAUGCUAGGUUCUUCCAGAAAGCAAGACAGCUUACUGGUAAUGAAGUGUAAGUUGAUUUUUUAUUAAUUGGUUUUAGGCUUAGUCGCUCAUGGCCAGCAAUGUGAGAAAGACAAUUCAACAACAAAAACAUUCAUGAGUCUAAGACUAAGCUGUGUAAUCUAAAUAAUUACCUAG